GUAAGAUUAAGUUAUUUUUGACUGUAUGUUUUCAAAACAUUUAGGGGCUGGUUGGUCAUCUUAUG
rnacentral:tRNA from 1 species